AAAAACGUUAGAUUAGUAACCAAAGUAGACUAGUUUUAUGGUUUACUUUAUUGAAAGCCUAAGAACAUUUUGGCUUUUAAACAGUUGUUUCAUGAGGAAUAGAUAUUAUUCACUCUUGGGAUCCAGCCUACAUAACUCAAAGCCUCUAAGCCUCAUUCAUCCCAAUGUCUGUGCUGGAAAUGCCUUCCCCACUUUCUCUGUUCACCUAAUCCCACUCUCUAUAGUCCAGCUCAUCUCACCACCUCCCUGGAGCCUUCCCCAGCUCCUGCAGCCCACAGAGUUGUAUUUCUCUGAACUGUAGCACUCGUUGUAUAAUCAUUUGUUGAUGAUCUUUUUAAUGGAUAUAAAUCC
rnacentral:lncRNA from 1 species